rnacentral:rRNA from 1 species
ACACGACUACAUUAGAUACCCCCGUAGUCCUAGCCGUAAACGAUACUCGCUAGGUGUCGGCCACGGUGCGACCGUUGUCGGUGCCGUAGGGAAGCCGUGAAGCGAGCCACCUGGGAAGUACGGCCGCAAGGCUGAAACUUAAGGAAUUGGCGGGGGAGCACCACAACGGGUGGAGCUUGCGGUUUAAUUGGAUUCAACGCCGGAAAUCUUACCGGGACCGACAGCAACAUGAAGGCCAGGCUGAAGACUUUGCCGGAUUAGCUG